CUUUUACCAAUGUAUUGGGCAUAAAUAACUUUCUCUU
rnacentral:tRNA from 1 species